rnacentral:rRNA from 1 species
CCUACGGGAGGCAGCAGUGGGGAAUUUUGGACAAUGGGCGCAAGCCUGAUCCAGCAAUGCCGCGUGAGUGAAGAAGGCCUUCGGGUUGUAAAGCUCUUUUGUCAGGGAAGAAACGGGUCUUUCUAAUACAGAGAUCUAAUGACGGUACCUGAAGAAUAAGCACCGGCUAACUACGUGCCAGCAGCCGCGGUAAUACGUAGGGUGCAAGCGUUAAUCGGAAUUACUGGGCGUAAAGCGUGCGCAGGCGGUUUUGUAAGUUUGUCGUGAAAUCCCCGGGCUCAACCUGGGAAUGGCGAUGAAGACUGCAAGGCUAGAGUUUGGCAGAGGGGGGUAGAAUUCCACGUGUAGCAGUGAAAUGCGUAGAUAUGUGGAGGAACACCGAUGGCGAAGGCAGCCCCCUGGGUCAAAACUGACGCUCAUGCACGAAAGCGUGGGGAGCAAACAGGAUUAGAUACCCUGGUAGUCCACGCCCUAAACGAUGUCUACUAGUUGUCGGGUCUUAAUUGACUUGGUAACGCAGCUAACGCGUGAAGUAGACCGCCUGGGGAGUCGGUCGCAAGNUUAAACUUCAAAGGAAUUGACGGCUUGAGNGNGCGAGNGACGACGAGGAGAGG